rnacentral:lncRNA from 1 species
AUUCGGGCUUAAGGAUGAUGUUGCAAGCCGCACACACAUCCGGCCUCUAGGAGUCAUCCACACGAGCCCAUGAAUCUCGAUCAGAAGUCCUGCUUCAGGAAAUCAGCACAGUAUGCUAGUACUGUGCUGAUCCUUCUUUGAUGGUUGAUCAGAUGCCUCCUUCUUCUUGAUUUGGACUCUUCCAAAGAUGGAAAGUAAAAGG